UGCAGUCGACGAUGAAGCACCGCUUGCGGUGUGGAUUAGUGGCGAACGGGUGAGUAACACGUGAGUAACCUGCCCUUGACUCUGGGAUAAGCCUGGGAAACUGGGUCUAAUACCGGAUACGAUCAUUGCCCGCAUGGGUUGGUGGUGGAAAGCUUUAUGUGGUUUUGGAUGGACUCGCGGCCUAUCAGCUUGUUGGUGAGGUAAUGGCUCACCAAGGCGACGACGGGUAGCCGGCCUGAGAGGGUGACCGGCCACACUGGGACUGAGACACGGCCCAGACUCCUACGGGAGGCAGCAGUGGGGAAUAUUGCACAAUGGGCGAAAGCCUGAUGCAGCGACGCCGCGUGAGGGAUGACGGCCUUCGGGUUGUAAACCUCUUUCAGUAGGGAAGAAGCGAAAGUGACGGUACCUGCAGAAGAAGCGCCGGCUAACUACGUGCCAGCAGCCGCGGUAAUACGUAGGGCGCAAGCGUUAUCCGGAAUUAUUGGGCGUAAAGAGCUCGUAGGCGGUUUGUCGCGUCUGCUGUGAAAGGCCAGGGCUCAACUCUGGUUCUGCAGUGGGUACGGGCAGACUUGAGUGAUGUAGGGGAGACUGGAAUUC
rnacentral:rRNA from 1 species